rnacentral:rRNA from 1 species
UGGGGAAUAUUGCACAAUGGACGGAAGUCUGAUGCAGCAACGCCGCGUGCGGGAUGACGGCCUUCGGGUUGUAAACCGCUUUCACCAGGGGCGAAUUUGACGGUACCUGGAGAAGAAGCACCGGCUAACUACGUGCCAGCAGCCGCGGUGAUACGUAGGGUGCGAGCGUUGUCCGGAUUUAUUGGGCGUAAAGAGCUCGUAGGUGGUUUGUUGCGUCGGGAGUGAAAACACGCAGCUCAACUGUGUGCUUGCUUUCGAUACGGGCAGACUUGAGGGAUGUAGGGGAGAACGGAAUUCCUGGUGGAGCGGUGGAAUGCGCAGAUAUCAGGAGGAACACCGGUGGCGAAGGCGGUUCUCUGGACAUUUCCUGACGCUGAGGAGCGAAAGCGUGGGGAGCAAACAGG